rnacentral:rRNA from 1 species
UACGUAGGGUGCGAGCGUUAAUCGGAAUUACUGGGCGUAAAGUGUGCGCAGGCGGCCGAGCAAGUCGAGUGUGAAAGCCCCGAGCUUAACUUGGGAACUGCGCUCGAAACUACUUGGCUAGAGUGUGGCAGAGGGAGGUGGAAUUCCACGUGUAGCGGUGAAAUGCGUAGAUAUCGUAAGGAAGACCAGUGGCGAAGGCGGGUCUCUGGACAGUUCCUGACGCUGAGGCACGAAGGCCAGGGGAGCAAACGGG